GGUGUUCCUAGGUUUGGAAACGUACCUCCCAGGGGAAGUGAGCUGAGGAACAUUUUAUGCAUCAUUCAUCCGGUUAUGAGCCCUUGCUGCUCCAUCUCUGCACAAGG
ensembl:misc_RNA